GACGAACGCUGGCGGCGUGCUUAACGCAUGCAAGUCGAACGGAAAGGCCCUGCUUGCAGGGUACUCGAGUGGCGAACGGGUGAGUAACACGUGGGUGAUCUGCCCUUCACUUCGGGAUAAGCCUGGUAAACUGGGUCUAAUACCGGAUAGUAGCCAUUUUUAUUGUUAUGGUUGGAAAGUUUUUUCGGUGUAGGAUGAGCUCGCGGCCUAUCAGCUUGUUUGUGGGGUAAUGGCCUACCAAGGCGGCGACGGGUAGCCGGCCUGAGAGGGUGGACGGCCAAAAUGGGAAUGAGAUACGGCCCAGACUCCUACGGGAGGAAGAAGUGGGGAAAAUGGAAAAAGGGGAGCAAGCCUGAUGCAGCGACGCCGCGUGGGGGAUGACGGCCUUCGGGUUGGAAACGCAUUUCGCUAGGGACGAAGCUUUUUGUGACGGUACCUAGAUAAGAAGCACCGGCUAACUACGUG
rnacentral:rRNA from 1 species